rnacentral:misc_RNA from 1 species
AACACUGUUAACCUGCGGUACCUGCGGAAGGAUCAUUACCGAGUGCGGGCCCUCUGGGUCCAACCUCCCACCCGUGUUUAUUGUACCUUGUUGCUUCGGCGGGCCCGCCAUUCUGGCCGCAAAGGGGCACCUGCCCCUACGCCCGCGCCCGCCGAAGACAUCUCGAACUCUGUCUGAAGAUUGAAGUCUGAGCGGAAUUACAAAUUAGUUAAAACUUUCAACAAUGGAUCUCAGAUCGGA